AUUCAGCUGAUGAGUCCCAAAUUGGACGAAAUACGUAUCGUGAAU
rfam:Schistosoma curassoni strain Dakar, Senegal genome assembly, scaffold: SCTD_scaffold0000029